GGCUUCAUGCAUGCUAGGCAAGCACUCUACCACUAAGCCACAUUCCCAGCCCUAGAUAGUCACUUUUUUACUGUUUUUAGAUGUUUACUUUUUAGAAUGGGAAUCAGCUUGUCAUAUGAAUUGUUCUUUUCUUAUAGCUUUAGGCAGCAAAGGUUAAUAUUUUAAAUUAUUGCAUUGGAAAAAUUAAGACUGUAGCAUUGCCUUACUGUUGAAGCUUAAAUAACUAGCUUGUAAGUCAGGUAUGAUAGUGAAUCCCUGUAAUCUCAGUACUCAGGAGGAUUCCAAGUUUGGGGCCAAGCUGGGACCCAUAGUGAUACCCUAUCUCAUAAGACAAAACAGCUUCCACCUUCCAGAACUGACUUGUAAAUAGGAGGUUCUUCCAGGCUAGGAGAUGGCCCUCUAAGCUUUCAUAUGUUUGUUAAGUAUAUGUCUAUAAAAACCUCUAUAGAUCAGUAAAGCAGUAAUUCUUAAUUUCCUAUGAGCUUAUUUUAGAACCUGUGGAAUAGGAUCACACACACAAAAUAAACAUAUAUAUUUAAUUAUUUACAAGUGUUAACACACUUGAACAGUUUUGGUAGGAAAAAGCAUGAAACUCUAUCAAAACUUAAUUACUAAAUAAAAGCAUCAAACCUUCCAAACAUAACUACUGAUUGAAAUUGACUAGAAACCUUAGUGAUAACCCAGUUGGUUAGCACAUGUUUGGUAUAUAAUUAAAA